UACGGGGGGGGCAAGCGUUGUUCGGAAUUACUGGGCGUAAAGGGCGCGUAGGCGGCCUGCUAAGUCACACGUGAAAUCCCUCGGCUCAACCGGGGAACUGCGUGUGAUACUGGCGGGCUUGAAUUCGGGAGAGGGAUGUGGAAUUCCAGGUGUAGUGGUGAAAUGCGUAGAUAUCUGGAGGAACACCGGUGGCGAAGGCGGCAUCCUGGACCAUUAUUGACGCUGAGGAGCGAAAGCCAGGGGAGCAAACGGG
rnacentral:rRNA from 1 species